UACGUAGGUGGCAAGCGUUGGCCGGAUUUACUGGGCGUAAAGAGCGCGCAGGCGGUCGUUCAAGUCGCGUGUGAAAGCCCCCGGCUCAACUGGGGAGGGUCACGCGAUACUGAUCGACUCGAAGGCAGGAGAGGGUAGUGGAAUUCCCGGUGUAGUGGUGAAAUGCGUAGAUAUCGGGAGGAACACCAGUGGCGAAGGCGACUACCUGGCCUGUUUCUUGACGCUGAGGCGCGAAAGCUAGGGGAGCAAACGGG
rnacentral:rRNA from 1 species